AUGUCGCCUCCUCUGCCAAAAUUUGUUGUUGACUUGGAAGGCGACAAAGAUGUGGAUCUCUAUGGCUGCUUCUCUCCUCAUGCUUCGGGCUUCUCGCCCCGUGUUGGGUCUAGUUCGACUCCCCGUGUGUUGCCGGACUUCGAGGGUGAGGCCACCGUCGAGGUUGUGUCCCCGGUGCUGCAGAUCAUGCCCGAGCUGCAGGUGUUGUGUGGUGCCGUGGUGGAGAACCUGUUUCAACUUUGUCGUUGGAGCAGCUCAAGUUGGACUCUCUCCAAGCUUCACAGGUGGACCUGGUGUCCUCCCCACCCCCCGUGGAGCUUCGUCGGGCGUCAGACAGCCUACCUCUCGACAUCAUGGAGCACGGAGUUUUAG
rnacentral:rRNA from 1 species